GUCUAUUUGUAGAUAUAAAGAGUCUGGCCUGCCCACUGAUAUUGUUAAAGGGCCGCGGUAAUUUGACCGUGCAAAGGUAGCAUAAUCGUUAGUUUCUUAAUUGGGAUCUUGUAUGAAUGGUUGGACAAAAGAAUGACUGUCUCUAUGUUUUUUAUUGAAUUUAACUUUUAAGUGAAAAGGCUUAAAUAUUUUAAAAAGACGAUAAGACCCUGUAAAGCUUAAUAAGCUUAAAUAUUUAGUUGAAUUAAUGUAUAAAAGCUUAAUGUAGAUAACUUAUUUCGUUGGGGCGACGAUGAUAAAAUGUCUAUUAACUGUUUAUAAAAAAAGACAAAAUUUUAUGUUUUAUAAAAGUAAAUGAUCCUUAAGUGAAGAUUAAAAGUUUAAGUUACUUCAGGGAUAACAGCGUUAUUUUUCUUGAGAGUUCAUAUCGAAAGAAAAGUUUGCGACCUCGAUGUUGAAUUAAAAUUUCUAUAUAAUUGCAGCAGUUAUAUCAGAAGGUCUGUUCGACCUUUAAAUUUUU
rnacentral:rRNA from 1 species